AGCCGGAACACAGACAGGAGAGAGUCAGUGGCAAAUAGACAUUUUUCUUAUUUCUUAAAAAACAGCAACUUGUUUGCUACUUUUAUUUCUGUUGAUUUUUUUUUUUCUUGGUGGUGUGGGGACCCCUGGCCAAGAGGGCUGAGGUCUGACCCUGCUUUAAAGGGUUGUUUGACUAGGUUUUGCUACCCUACUUCCCCUUAUUUUGACCCAUCACAGGUUUUUGACCCUGGAUGUCAGAGUUGAUCUAAGACGUUUUCUACAAUAGGUUGGGAGAUGCUGAUCCCUUCAAGUGGGGACAGCAAAAAGACAAGCAAAACUGAUGUGCACUUUAUGGCUUGGGACUGAUUUGGGGGACAUUGUACAGUGAGUGAAGUAUAGCCUUUAUGCCACACUCUGUGGCCCUAAAAUGGUGAAUCAGAGCAUAUCUAGUUGUCUCAACCCUUGAAGCAAUAUGUAUUAUAAACUCAGAGAACAGAAGUGCAAUGUGAUGGGAGGGACAUAGCAAUAUCUGCUCCUUUUCGAGUUGUUUGAGAAAUGUAGGCUAUUUUUUCAGUGUAUAUCCACUCAGAUUUUGUGUAUUUUUGAUGUACACUGUUCUCUAAAUUCUGAAUCUUUGGGAAAAAAUGUAAAGCGUUUAUGAUCUCAGAGGUUAACUUAUUUAAGGGGGAUGUACAUAUAUUCUCUGAAACUAGGAUGCAUGCAAUUGUGUUGGAAGUGUCCUUGGUGCCUUGUGUGAUGUAGACAAUGUUACAGGGUCUGCAUGUAAAUGGGUUGCCUUAUUAUGGAAAAAAAAAUCACUCCCUGAGUUUAGUAUGGCUGUAUAUUUCUGCCUAUUAAUAUUUGGAAUUUUUUUUAGAAAGUAUAUUUUUGUAUGCUUUGUUUUGUGACUUAAAAGUGUUACCUUUGUAGUCAAAUUUCAGAUAAGAAUGUACAUAAUGUUACCGGAGCUGAUUUGUUUGGUCAUUAGCUCUUAAUAGUUGUGAAAAAAUAAAUCUAUUCUAACGCAAAACCACUAACUGAAGUUCAGAUAAUGGAUGGUUUGUGACUAUAGUGUAAAUAAAUACUUUUCAACAAUA
rnacentral:sRNA from 1 species